rnacentral:lncRNA from 1 species
AUUAUUUUGAUUUGUAAUUUUUUUCAUUGGCCUUUUGCUAAAGUUUUUUUUUGUUUUUAAUUUCAUCUUUCAAUCAAAGUUUUGUUUAUUCAAUCUGACCCUCAUUCUUUUUUUUUUUUUGUUAAAACUAUUUUUCAAUUCAAUUUAACCCUCAAAUUGAAAAAUUUUAUCUGCCAUCUAAUUGUUUUUUUAUUUUCACCCUUGUUUUUUAGAUCAUUUUGUAUGAUUG